GUCUCGGUAGUCUAAAGGCUUAGGACGCUCGCACGGAAUGCAAGAGAUCCGGGUUCGACUCCCGGUCGAGGCA
rnacentral:tRNA from 1 species